UGUUGAAACUGUGAAGAGUUAUUGCAACAACAACAACAACAUAUACCUAAUGGGGUCUGGGCAGGGUAGAGUGCAUGCAGACCUUACCCCUACCUCAUGGAGGUAGAGAGGUGGUUUCCGGAAGACCUUCGGAUCUUGACUUAUUAUGCGGAAGUAAAUGCAUGUUUUAUUACAGAUGCGAAACAAUUAGGUGGGCCAAAACUAUUUUAAUGCGGUUGCGCAAUGGGUUACUACUUGAAUAGAAGUUUGCCUAUUGAAGCUUGAAGUUGAGAUUGAGCAAUUUCAAAGAUUUGGGACAAGUAAGAUAGCUUCUAAAGCUUCUUCUGUCAAAUGCCAUGAACUUAGUAUGGUGAGUUUAAAUUUCUAUUUUCUUUCUCGUUCACUUAGUUGAGCUUUCCUUGGUAGGAAAAGAAAGGAAAUUUAUUUCUCUCAAAUUUUGUUACUAUAUAGUAAUUCUCCUUGACACCUGACAUUUUGUAAAUUUUCUCGGUAAGAUAGUACUUUGUUAUCUUGAUUUGAGAAGCUUAUACACCUUGGAGUAUGCAAGUGUACAAGU